rnacentral:rRNA from 1 species
CCUACGGGUGGCUGCAGUGAGGAAUAUUGGUCAAUGGGCGCGAGCCUGAACCAGCCAAGUAGCGUGAAGGAUGACUGCCCUACGGGUUGUAAACUUCUUUUAUCAAGGAAUAAAGUGAGGCACGUGUGCCGUUUUGAAAGUACUUGAUGAAUAAGGAUCGGCUAACUCCGUGCCAGCAGCCGCGGUAAUACGGAGGAUCCGAGCGUUAUCCGGAUUUAUUGGGUUUAAAGGGGGCGGAGAUGGGUUGUUAAGUCAGUGGUGAAAGUGUGGGGCUCAACCGUCAACUUGCAAUUGAUACUGGCAGUCUUGAGUACAGUUGAGGUAGGCGGAAUUCGUGGUGUAGCGGUGAAAUGCAUAGAUAUCACGAAGAACUCCGAUUGCGAAGGCAGCAUACUAACCUGCAACUGACACUGAUGCUCGAAAGUGUGGGUAUCAAACAGGAUUAGAUACCCCGGUAGUC